rnacentral:rRNA from 1 species
ACAAGUAGUCAGAGCCCGUUAAUGGGUGAUGGCGUGCCUUUUGUAGAAUGAACCGGCGAGUUACGAUUUGAUGCAAGGUUAAGCAGUAAAUGUGGAGCCGUAGCGAAAGCGAGUCUGAAUAGGGCGUUUAGUAUUUGGUCGUAGACCCGAAACCAGGUGAUCUACCCUUGGUCAGGUUGAAGUUCAGGUAACACUGAAUGGAGGACCGAACCGACUUACGUUGAAAAGUGAGCGGAUGAACUGAGGGUAGCGGAGAAAUUCCAAUCGAACCUGGAGAUAGCUGGUUCUCUCCGAAAUAGCUUUAGGGCUAGCCUCAAGUGAUGAUUAUUGGAGGUAGAGCACUGUUUGGACGAGGGGCCCCUCUCGGGUUACCGAAUUCAGACAAACUCCGAAUGCCAAUUAAUUUAACUUGGGAGUCAGAACAUGGGUGAUAAGGUCCGUGUUCGAAAGGGAAACAGCCCAGACCACCAGCUAAGGUCCCAAAAUAUAUGUUAAGUGGAAAAGGAUGUGGCGUUGCCCAGACAACUAGGAUGUUGGCUUAGAAGCAGCCAUCAUUUAAAGAGUGCGUAAUAGCUCACUAGUCGAGUGACACUGCGCCGAAAA